rnacentral:rRNA from 1 species
GAUGAACGCUGGCGGCGUGCCUAAUACAUGCAAGUAGAACGCUGAAGGAGGAGCUUGCUCUUCUGGAUGAGUUGCGAACGGGUGAGUAACGCGUAGGUAACCUGCCUGGUAGCGGGGGAUAACUAUUGGAAACGAUAGCUAAUACCGCAUGACAACAGUUAUUGCAUGAUAACUGUUUAAAAGGGGCAACUGCUCCACUACCAGAUGGACCUGCGUUGUAUUAACUAGUUGGUGAGGUAACGGCUCACCAAGGCGACGAUACAUAGCCGACCUGGGAGGGUGAUCGGCCACACUGGGACUGAGACACGGCCCAGACUCCUACGGGAGGCAGCAGUAGGGAAUCUUCGGCAAUGGACGGAAGUCUGACCGAGCAACGCCGCGUGAGUGAAGAAGGUUUUCGGAUCGUAAAGCUCUGUUGUAAGAGAAGAACGAGUGUGAGAGUGGAAAGUUCACACUGUGACGGUAUCUUACCAGAAAGGGACGGCUAACUACGUG